CCUACGGGAGGCAGCAGUGGGGAAUCUUCCGCAAUGGGCGCAAGCCUGACGGAGCAACGCCGCGUGAGUGAAGAAGGUUUUCGGAUCGUAAAGCUCUGUUGUCAGGGACGAGACACUUGAUCACACUGCGUUCAAGGAGAGCGCCCGGCACACGAAGGG
rnacentral:rRNA from 1 species